ACAGCAAGGAUUAAUACAAGAGGAAGGGGGAUGGAGCGGAGCUUCAGACAUCAUCUACUUACGUGCCUGACCAGAUGCUGAGGAAUACGUCGGGUCCAGGUAGCUGGGAUCGCAAGCUGCCGAUUGAGAUGCAGGUUUAGCUUUGGGUGGGAGCCCGAGACAAGAGGCCGUGAACUGCAAACCUUCGGGAUAUCCAAGGGCGCGAAGACAGGUGACGCUAGCCAGGUGAACAGACUCUGGGAGACACAGCAGGAGCCGGGAAUUGCCGACUUUUUGGGUAACAAAGGAGAUUAAGACCGGUGACGCCAGCGAAGUCGUUGAACAUGGAGAAUGGGACGAGAGCCGAAGACUCGGGCAGAAGAGCGAGACUGUCUCGGGGGCGACUGUGAGGCUGUAGAAGCCCAGAGGCUUCUUAGGGGCACCAGCUCGAGAUGUUUCUGUGUUACUGCCCAGGAAUAAAUUGCUUUAUGGAACGAGAUGUCUGAGACUCUGCUAUGGGAAACCGGGGUCGAACCGGUAAGGAAACCUGGUCUGACCGUGUGAGAGUCGGUGUGUGGGGAGGCGUGUCAAGCGAGGCACCCUCACCUCACUGCAGCCGCCCGCCGUGCAGCGGCUGCGCUUCCAGCAGUGGAAGCCUUUGGCCCUGUGACACCUUUGGGGUAUGUGACUGUCAGAGUUUUGUGAAUGGUCACACCGGGAAGUUUCCCUAACACCCAUGACAGACUCAGAAAGUUACCUUCUGGUAAAUGGGGCUAAGUUGGCACUGACACAAACAUGCAUGUGAACGGCCUGUAUGAAAAUGUACUACAGAAAGCAAAAUAUUUGCCAUCUUAGAAGAAAAGCAAGUUUUUAUUUACAAGAUGGCAACAUGGGAUAAACAUGAGUCAUCUCUAUGCUCUUCAGGAGGAAGUAUUUAAUCUCAACUUUUCAAAUGGACACAUGCUCAGCCACAAAGUUUUGUUUUUACAGGUUACUUCCCAACUAAGACCAGGAGAGCCUAAUUCUAUGUCAAAUAUUUCUGAAUGUUAUCAAUAAAAACCCCUGUGAUUGCAA